UUGAACGCUGGCGGCAGGCCUAACACAUGCAAGUCGAGCGGUAGCACAGAGAGCUUGCUCUCGGGUGACGAGCGGCGGACGGGUGAGUAAUGUCUGGGAAACUGCCUGAUGGAGGGGGAUAACUACUGGAAACGGUAGCUAAUACCGCAUAACGUCGCAAGACCAAAGUGGGGGACCUUCGGGCCUCAUGCCAUCAGAUGUGCCCAGAUGGGAUUAGCUAGUAGGUGGGGUAACGGCUCACCUAGGCGACGAUCCCUAGCUGGUCUGAGAGGAUGACCAGCCACACUGGAACUGAGACACGGUCCAGACUCCUACGGGAGGCAGCAGUGGGGAAUAUUGCACAAUGGGCGCAAGCCUGAUGCAGCCAUGCCGCGUGUAUGAAGAAGGCCUUCGGGUUGUAAAGUACUUUCAGCGGGGAGGAAGGGAGUAAAGUUAAUACCUUUGCUCAUUGACGUUACCCGCAGAAGAAGCACCGGCUAACUCCGUGCCAGCAGCCGCGGUAAUACGGAGGGUGCAAGCGUUAAUCGGAAUUACUGGGCGUAAAGCGCACGCAGGCGGUUUGUUAAGUCAGAUGUGAAAUCCCCGGGCUCAACCUGGGAACUGCAUCUGAUACUGGCAAGCUUGAGUCUCGUAGAGGGGGGUAGAAU
rnacentral:rRNA from 1 species